rnacentral:rRNA from 1 species
CCUACGGGUGGCAGCAGUGAGGAAUAUUGGUCAAUGGAGGCAACUCUGAACCAGCCAUGCCGCGUGAAGGAUGACGGCCCUAUGGGUUGUAAACUUCUUUUAUAUGGGAAGAAACUUAUCUACGUGUAGAUAACUGACGGUACCAUACGAAUAAGGAUCGGCUAACUCCGUGCCAGCAGCCGCGGUAAUACGGAGGAUCCAAGCGUUAUCCGGAUUCAUUGGGUUUAAAGGGUCCGUAGGCGGAUUUUUAAGUCAGUGGUGAAAGCCGACAGCUCAACUGUCGAACUGCCAUUGAUACUGGAAAUCUUGAGUACAAAUGAAGUAGGCGGAAUGAGUCAUGUAGCGGUGAAAUGCAUAGAUAUGACUCAGAACACCAAUUGCGAAGGCAGCUUACUAACAUGUAACUGACGCUGAGGGACGAAAGCGUGGGGAGCGAACAG